AGGCAGGGAGAAAGAGGCAGGGUCUGAUCCACAGCCUCCGUGACAGCUGUUGAUCAGCCAUUGCCUCUUUCUUUCUCUCUG
rfam:Myotis brandtii contig220370, whole genome shotgun sequence.